rnacentral:misc_RNA from 1 species
AUAAUUGAUAAUUGUCUUGAACUCUGAAUUCCGAACGCCCGAGAGGUGGGCUAUAAUUAGAACUUGGAAAGAAUAUUUGGAUUAGCCGACUCAAGCUAACUGCUGCAGCUGAACUGUUUUCGGGAAUCAUCGUUAUCAGAUUUUUGUAACUUUUAAAGGUCAACAGGUCCAUUGAUUAUAAACGCCGAGUAAUAAAAAGUCGAUAGCAAAACCCGAUUCGUUUGCUGCCGCGUCCAAACAUUGCCUGUAUCUAUUUGCGAAUCGUUUUUAUUGCUUACGGCCUGCGGGUUUGUCCGAACCGAAAUAGAGCCGAAUCCACCAUCAUAGAUCACCGGUCCCCGUGAUCUACAUAGUCAGAGUUCUGUCAAGUGCUAAUGCUAUUACACGUCGUCGAUUCUGCAAAAAUGGAUAACUAUAAGUGUUCACUGUCUGUUGUCGACGUCUAUGAUAUGGCACAGGACAUCGGUCGAGAGUUCGAGGCAAUUAUAGACGCGUAUGGCACUGAUGCUAUAACUGGACUGAUGCCCAAGGUGGUAUCCGCCCUAGAGCAGAUGGAAUUAUUGGCUAUGAAGAACGAACGAGAAAACACUACUGUGGACGACUUGCGAUCAACGAUACAACAAUUGGAAAUGGAUAAACAGGAACGGACCGAGGACAGGAUGAAAUAUGAGAAGGAGAUGGAACAAAUUGAAGAUAAGUGGCGCGAAGACUAUAACGAAUUGUUGACUACUGUUUCCAGACUUCAAGAUGAUAAUCGUAAAUUGACUGAGUCUUUGCAAGCUGCCGAAAAGGAUAAGAUUGUUGAUUCAAAAUCACAAGUUUUAAGUCCAGAUGUUGAUACUGUUGCUCUUCAACGUCUACGCCAUACUGUUGAUCAAAUGCGUGAUAGUAUUAGAAGCUAUGAACAUCAAUUAAAUUCAAAGAGUAAUGAAGUAGAUUCUUUGACCGUUCAAAUGGAUAGGCUACAAACUACUUUGAAAGACUUACGACGCAAGCAUCGUUUUGCACAGCUACAAUGUCGUAGUUUAGUUGAAGAAAGGGCAGAUAUUCUUUCUCAACUUGUAAAGCAACAAAAAGAAUUUAUAUCACUUAGACAAAGGUUUGGUAUUGCUCAAAAAGAAAAUGAAGACCUUUCAAAAUAUAGAGAUGAUUUGCCUGAUUUGAAAAAUAAAGCCAUUUAUGAUUUAGACGAUCCAGAUAGACCAAAGUUUACAACCAAUGAACUGAAAGAUAUUUUGACUGAACGUAAUGAACUAAAAUCUCGUGUUAAUGAUCUUGAAGAUGAACUUUCACAGUUUAAGCCUGUUGAACAGUUGACAAUAUCCCAGGAAAGAGAUGAAAUCCAAGAAACGCGGGUACGAAGAAUUUUGUUACGAAACUGUACCACCAGAACUGACGGUCACCGAAAAAAUCUUGACACCACUCCGGUCAAUAAGGAAGGCUCGCAAGUGUCAAUCAUCACCCCAGAAAGUUCACCAGAUGUAAUAUCCCCUACCAGUUGCUAUUUUACAAUUAUUGCUGUGGUAAAAUUUUUUUAUUUCAUAACUGCAUGGUGGUAGAAUAUUGAUUAAUUCAUUUUUCUCAAAGACAAAAACAACAACUUCAAUAUGCAAGACUAAAUUGACUAUAUAAAUACUGAAAAAAAAUGUUUCAAUAUCUGAAAGUCCGAUGAUGAACAGGAAGAAGGCCCUGUUCAAGGACCAUUACCUUUAGAACCUGAUGAUGCACCAUGGAAACGAAACCCAGAAUCUGGCAUUCGUAAACUUUUUCGUAAGAUGUUUGCUGA